rnacentral:rRNA from 1 species
AGAAUCAACGCUGGCGGCGUGCCUAACACAUGCAAGUCGAACGAGAAAGGGACCUUCGGGUCCUGAGUAAAGUGGCGCACGGGUGAGUAACACGUGACUAACCUACCCUUGAGUGGGGAAUAACUUCGAGAAAUCGAGGCUAAUUCCGCAUAAUACCUACGGGUCAAAGGAGCAAUUCGCUUAAGGAGGGGGUCGCGGCAGAUUAGCUAGUUGGCGGGGUAAUGACCCACCAAGGCAGUGAUCUGUA